ensembl:lncRNA
UCCUUGGUGUGGUCCUCCAGCGAAUGGUCCAACUGCUCCAGGCAUAGGAGCUGGACAGCUGGUAAAUCCAUACCGCAAAAAAAGAAAGAAAAACGCAGCUAAUUUUACUCACUUUGAGGGUAUGCUAUUCUGUUACGUGUUGAGGUGUGUAAAGCCAAGUGUGUGCAGGACUGUGGCCCUCCAGGAACUGAGUUUGACACCCUUGGCCUGUCCCAUUUUUGCCUCCCUCCCACUGUUAAAAUGUAACUAAGUAAUUUUUACUCUGAGUAAAUUUUAAAUGAGUUACUUUUCACUUUUACUUGAGUAGAUUUUUAGACGGGUACUUUUACUUGUACUUAAGUAAAAUUUCAUUCAUGUAAUGGUACUUUUACUUGAGUAGAAUAUUUUUGUACUCUUUCCACCUCUGACCAAAACAGAUCAUAACCAUGACAAAGUUAUACAUAAAAUCAAAGAUUUCACAGCAAAAAUACACAUGUAUCGUGGCCUGAAGGAGGACUUUUAUACAGUUGUCCAUUGGUAUGCUGUGAGAUUUUGUUGGCUGGAUGGUCCCCUGGUAGGCAUCUGUCCUCUGUUUGGUGUCUGAGUGUCCAGUGGGUUUUUACAUAGGCUUAACUCAACAUCUAUCUAUUCACUUAUGUACUUAUGUUCUCCUAGUAAUGGUCUCUCCUAUGCAGUGCAGCGCAUUACUUUCAAUCCAAUGAUUUAUGGCUAUGUCUCCAGUCUGUCUAGUGCUUCAAGAUCUCUGUUUGAUUAUGUUGCUCAUCUUUUUUGGUGCUGACUGCCACAAACUGCACCAAGAUCAACCUUGCAAGUCUACUUGCCCUGAUGUGCAGAAAGGGCAAAGGCACACAUAUAGAUACAGUAUAACCAUAGCAAAUGCCUGGAAAGGUCCUUCGUCAUGAGGCAGUCAGUUAGCUCUGGACUGUGUUGUUGACAUUGAUGUUCAACCAGGACGUCCAGAAAUUAUAUUAAAGGGCAGAACACCGGUUACUUUACCAGUAUUGUGUUUAAGGCUGAAGGCCAAAACUCAGGCAGACACGGUGGACCAUCGGUUCAAGAGGUUUCCAAUACAGUGAGGAGGCUGUGUGCUCAUCUUGCAGAUCAACAACAGGCUUUGCUGCGAAUACCUCUUUUCCAUCCAAAAGCUCUACUUGUGUCCUCAUUGGUCCAUGGCCUUUGUCAACAGGAACAGGGUCCAUGUAACGAAGUCCAGCAGUUCAUCCUUGUUCUGAAGCAGAGUCCUGAGGCAGGAUACGAAGUGGAUGAUCAUUUGCAGAUCACAGAGCUGCUGCAUGUGUUGAAAGCAGUGGAGAAUGCAGGAGCGGCUGUGUCAGAUCUCAUCCUCACGCUGAGCCGCUGUGUGCAGAAUCAGUCUGUGCUGCUGGAGCUCGCUGUACGAGCAUUCAGGAGAAUCCCAUGCCUUCAUGACAGGACAGCUCUUGCUCAAGCAUUUCAAAGCCAGCAGGAGAAUGUGGAGGUCAGAAUCGCAGCAUAUCAGCUGCUCAUGUCCAAACCAGGAGAUUUUCACAAUUGUGAAGACAACUUUGAGCAAUGAGAAGUCUAGUCAAGGUACUGAUCAAAUAGUAUUUAUUAUUACUAACUAAAAUGUGCUACAUUAUUUCAACAUCGUUAGAGAAUGUUUAAAAUUCAGAUACUUUUGAUAUGGAUAGAUGAAUAUUCUUAAAGGGUUAGUUCACCCAAAAAAAGGUGUUUCACUCAUGCCCAUGACAUCCUAAGUGUAUAUGACUUUCUCCUUUCAGACGAAUCCAGUCUGACUUAUAUUAAAAAUGGUCUUUGAUCUUUCAAGCUCUAUCAUUGCAGUCAGCGGGUGUUGCAGUGCGUCAGUCCAAAAGAAGUUAAAUAAAAAGCGCCCAUCCAUAAAAAAAGUGUCUCA